UACGGAGGGUGCGAGCGUUGUCCGGAAUCACUGGGCGUAAAGGGCGCGUAGGCGGCCUGAUAAGUAGGGGGUGAAAUCCUGCGGCUUAACCGCAGGGCUGCCUUCUAAACUGUCAGGCUGGAGCACAGUAGAGGCAGGUGGAAUUCCCGGUGUAGCGGUGGAAUGCGUAGAGAUCGGGAAGGACAUCAGUGGCGAAGGCGGCCUGCUGGGCUGUUGCUGACGCUGAGGCGCGACAGCGUGGGGGAGCAAACAGG
rnacentral:rRNA from 1 species